GUGCUUGGGCAAACAUUUGGGCUCAAAUGGACAUUUGGACAAAGUUAUUGGGACACAGAUGUGUGAACAACAUUAUUGGGACACCUGUGAAAGGGAAGAGAAUGUGUAAAAAGUUGUGUUCAUGUAAACAUUUGCGCAUAUUCCCAGAUGGCCUCUUUCUACCCCAUCAACGUCUCAGUCGUUAACGUUGAAAAAUGUUUUGGGUUUUUCGCUGCUGAUGAGAAGCUGCCGGAGAAUUCCAGACAACGACGGUGAACAUUCCGGUCCUGCCCCCUCGUAAAUAGAAACGUGAAAACAGCUGCCGCAGGAACGCCUUGGCGCUCCUGAACUGAGCUUCAUGGCAGCGGAUGACAAAGACGUUUCCCUGCAUCAGUCUGCUCACUUCCAAACCGAGGCGGUCACUCACCUGCUGGACGCGCAUGUGGGCUGGGACAGGUGGGAUGCACACGCGUGAAAAAAAUGUCCUAUUCCACACACACACACACACACACACGCACACAAA